GUCAGUCCCGGGCGAGCUCCUUCCUCUAUUUCAAAUGCAUUGGCUUAACCCAGCUGGACCGAAGCCUGGGACACGGAAUGGGCUCGGUGGGGGCCUUCCAGACUAGAAAAAGGAGACAUGGAAUCUCAAUGGAGUUGCCACCAACUGGCAUCCGCUCAUACACAAUACUGGGAUACAUCCACCUCUUGGCUAUUGUGAAGAAUGCUGUCAUGAACAUGGAUGCACAAAUAUCUUUCGAGGACCUUGCUUUCAGUUCUUUUGAAUAUAUAUCCAGACGUGGAAGAGCUCAAUCAUAUGGUAAUUCUAUCCUUAAUUUUUAGGGACCUGACGUAAUAUUUGCCAUAAUAGUUGCACAAUUUUCCAUCCCUACC